rnacentral:lncRNA from 1 species
AUGGCGCUGAAAGCGAAGAAGGAAUUUCCUUCGGCUUUAGUUCUUCCUAAAGCCGAAGCCAAAGUGAAGGCUUUAAAGGCCAAGAAGGCAGUGUUGAAAGGUGUCCAUAGCCACAAAAAAGAAAAAAAAAAAAGAAAAAAAAAGAAGAUCCUCAUGUCACCCACCUUCCGGCAGCCCAAGAUACUGUGACUCCGGAGGCAGCCCAAAUAUCCUUGGAAGAGCGCCCCCAGGUGAAACAAGCUUGACCACUAUGCUAUCAUCAAGUUUCUGCUGACCGCUGAGUCUGCCAUGAAGAAGACAGAAGACAACAACACACUUGUGUUCAUUGUGGAUGUUAAAGCCAACAAGCACCGGAUCAAACAGGCUAUGAAGAAGCUCUAUGACAUUGAUGUGGCCAAGGUCAACACCCUGAUUUGAAGAAGGCAUAUGUUCAACUGGCUCCUGAUAUCAAUGCUUUGGAAGUUGCCAACAAAAUUGGGAUAAUUUAA